CUCAUAGCGUAUAUUUAAGUUGUUGCAGUUAAAAAGCUCGUAGUCGGAUUUUGGCUGAGAACGAACGGUCCGCCGUUAGGUGUGCACUGUUUGGUCUCAGCUUCCUGGUGAGGAGGUGUGCUUCACGGCCACUUAGUCACCGUGGUUACUUUGAAAAAAUUAGAGUGUUCAAAGCGGGCUUACGCUUGAAUAUAUUAGCAUGGAAUAACACCAUAGGACUCCUGUCCUAUUUCGUUGGUCUCGGGACGGGAGUAAUGAUUAAGAGGAACAGUUGGGGGCAUUCGUAUUUCAUUGUCAGAGGUGAAAUUCUUGGAUUUAUGAAAGACGAACUUCUGCGAAAGCAUUUGCCAAGGAUGUUUUCAUUGAUCAAGAACGAAAGUUGGGGGCUCGAAGAUGAUUAGAUACCAUCCUAGUCUCAACCAUAAACGAUGCCGACUAGGGAUUGGCGGAUGUUAAUUGAUGACUUCGCCAGCACCUUAUGAGAAAUCAAAGUUUUUGGGUUCCGGGGGGAGUAUGGUCGCAAGGCUGAAACUUAAAGGAAUUGACGGAAGGGCACCACCAGGCGUGGAGCCUGCGGCUUAAUUUGACUCAACACGGGGAAACUUACCAGGUCCAGACAUAGUAAGGAUUGACAGAUUGAGAGCCCUUUCUUGAU
rnacentral:rRNA from 1 species